rnacentral:rRNA from 1 species
GACGAACGCUGGCGGCGUGCUUAACACAUGCAAGUCGAGCGGUAAGGCCCUUUCGGGGGUACACGAGCGGCGAACGGGUGAGUAACACGUGGGUGACCUGCCUUUAGCUCUGGGAUAAGCCUGGGAAACCGGGUCUAAUACCGGAUAUGACUCCGCGGCGCAUGUUGUGGGGUGGAAAGCCUUGUGCGGCUGGAGAUGGGCCCGCGGCCUAUCAGCUUGUUGGUGGGGUGAUGGCCUACCAAGGCGACGACGGGUAGCCGGCCUGAGAGGGCGACCGGCCACACUGGGACUGAGACACGGCCCAGACUCCUACGGGAGGCAGCAGUGGGGAAUCUUGCGCAAUGGGCGAAAGCCUGACGCAGCGACGCCGCGUGAGGGAUGACGGCCUCGGUUGUAACG